rnacentral:lncRNA from 1 species
UGUUUGUUUGGGGUUAGAAUUUGUUAGAAUACAAUGAAGUUGAUUGAUUACAAGUAAUAGAGAUAGAUAAAGAGUGUUUAAAAGUGUGUAGGAAGACUUGCUGAAAUUUGGUCCAAAAUGGGAUAAGAACCCACAACCAUUGCUUUGAAUAAUUAAAUGGCUUGUCUAAUGUUGUUUGGGGUUAGAAUAUGUUAGAAUACAAUAAAUUUGAUUAAUUACAAGUGCUAUAGGUGCAUGAAGAGUGUUUAAAAGUGUGGAGAAAGACUUGUUGAAAUUAGGUCCCAAAUGGGCUAAGAACUCGGAAACAUUGCGUUGAACCACUAAAUGAAUUAUUUAGUGUUAUUUGGGGUUAGAAUUUGUUAGAAUACAAUCAAGUUGAUUGAUUACAAGUGAUAGAGAUAGAUGAAGAGUGUUUAAAAGUGUGUAGAGAGACUUGCUGAAAUUUGAUCCAAAAUGGGCUAAGAACCCAUAACCCAUUGCUUUGAAGCAUUAAAUGUCUUGGAUAGUGUUGUUUGGGGUUAGAAUAUGUUAGAAUACAAUAAAUUUGACUGAUUACAAGUGCUAGAGGUGCAUGAAGAGUGAUUAGAAGUGUGGAGAAAGACUUGUUGAAACUAGAUCCCAAAUGGGCUAAGAACUCGGAAACAUUGCGUUGAACCAUUAAAUGAAUUAUUUAGUGUUAUUUGGGGUUAUAAUUUGUUAGAAUACAAUCAAGUUGAUUGAUUACAAGUGAUAGAGAUAGAUGAAGAGUGUUUAAAAGUGUGUAGGAAAACUUGCUGAAAUUUGGUCCAAAAUGGGAUAAGAACCCACAACCUUUGCUUUGAAUAAUUAAAUAGCUUGGGUAAUGUUGUUUGGGGUUAGAAUAUGUUAAAUAGCUUGGGUCCCAAAUGGGCUAAAAACUCGGACACAUUGCGUUGAACCACUAAAUGACUUAUUUAGUGUUGUUUGGAGUUAGAAUUUGUUAGAGUACAAUGAAUUUGAUUGAUUUCAAGUGAUAGAUAUGCAUGAAGAGUGUUUAAAAGUGUGUAGAGAGACUUGCUGAAAUUUGAUCCAAAAUGGGACAAGAACCCACAACCAUUGUUUUGAAGAAUUAAAUGGCCUGUCUAAUGUUGUUUGGGGUUAGAAUAUGUUAGAUUACAAUAAAUUUGAUUAAUUACAAGUGCUAGAGCUGCAUGAAGAGUGUUUAGAAGUGUGGAGAAAGACUUGUUGAAAUUGGGUCCCAAAUGGGCUAAGAACUACGAAACAUUGCAGUGAACCACUAAAUCACUUAUCUAGUGUUGUUUGGGGUUAGAAUAUGUUAGAAUACAAUGAAUUUGAUUGAUUCAAAGUGCUAGAGAUGCAUGAAGAGUGUUUAAAAGUUUGUAGAGAGACUUGCUAAAAUUUAGUCCAAAAUGGGCUAAGAACCCACAACCAUUGCUUUGAAGCAUUAAAUGGCUUGUAUAGUAUUGUUUGGGGUUAGAAUAUGUUAGAAUACAAUAAAUUUGAUUGAUUACAAGUGCUAGAGGUGCAUGAAGAGUGUUUAGAAGUGUGGAGAAAGACUUGUUGAAAUUGGGUCCCAAAUGGGAUAAGAACUAGGACACAUUGCGUUGAACCACUAAAUAACUUAUCUAGGGUUGUUUGGCGUUAGAAUAUGUUAGAAUACAAUGAAGUUGAUUGAUUACUAGUGCUAGAGAUACAUGAAGAGAGUUUAAAAGUGUAUGGAAAGACUUGCUGAAAUUUGGCCCAAAAUGGGCUAAGAACCCACAACCAUUGCUUUGAAGAAUUAAAUGGCUUGUCUAGUGUUGUUUGGAGUUAGAAUAUGUUAGCAUACAAUAAAUUUGAUUGAUUACAAGGGCUAGAGGUGCAUGAAGAGUGUUUAGAAAUGUGGCGAAAGACUUGUUGAAAUUAGGUCUCAAAUGCGCUAAGAACUAGAAAACAUUGCGUUGAACCAAUAAAUGACUUAUCUAGUGUUGUUUGGGAUUAUAAUAUGUUAGAAUACAAUGAAGUUGAUUGAUUACAAGUGCUAGAGAUACAUGAAGAGUGUUUAAAAGUGGGUAGAAAGACUUGCUGAAAUUUGGUCCAAAAUGGGCUAAGAACCCACAACCAUUGCUUUGAAGAAUUAAAUGGCGUGUCUAGUGUUUUUUGGGGUUAGAAUAUGUUAGCAUACAAUAAAUUUGAUUGAUUACAAGGGCUAGAGGUGCAUGAAGAGUGUUUAGAAGUGUGGAGAAAGACUUGUUGAAAUUGGGUCCCAAAUGGACUAAUAACUCGGAAACAUUGCGUUGAACCACUAAAUGACUUAUCUAGUGUUGUUUGGGGUUAGAAUAUGUUAGAAUACAAUGAAGUUGAUUGAUUACAAGUGCUACAGAUACAUGAACAGUGUUUACAAGUGUGGAGGAAGACUUGCUGAAAUUUGGUCCAAAAUAGGAUAAAAUCCACAACCAUUGCUUUGAAUAAUAAAAUGGCUUGUCUAAUGUUUUUUGGGGUUGGAAUAUGUUAGAAUACAAUAAAUUUGAUUAAUUCCAAGUGCUAGAGGUGCAUGAAGAGUGUUUAGAAGUGUGGAGAAAGACUUGUUGAAAUUAGGUCCCAAAUGAGCUAAGAACUAGGAAACAUUGCGUUGAACCACUAAAUGACUUAUCUAGUGUUGUUUAGGGUUAGAAUAUGUUAGAAUUCAAUAUACUUGAUUGAUUUCAAGUGCUAGAGAUGCAUGAAGAGUGUUUAAAAGUAUGUAGAGAGACUUGCUGAACCCACAACCAUUGCUUUGAAGCAUUAAAUGGCUUGUAUAGUGUUGUUUGGGGUUAGAAUAUGUUAGAAUACAAUAAAUUUGAUUGAUUAAAAGUGCUAGAGAUGCAUGAACUGAUUUUAGAAGUGUGGAGAAAGACUUGUUGAAAUUGGGUCCGAGAUGGGCUAAAAACUCGGAAACAUUGCGUUGAACCACUAAAUGACUUAUUUAGUGUUUGUUUGGGGUUAGAAUUUGUUAGUAUACAAUGAAGUUAAUUGAUUACAAGUAAUAGAGAUAGAUAAAGAGUGUUUAAAAGUGUGUAGAAAGAUUUGCUGAAAUUUGGUCCAAAAUGGGAUAAGAACCCACAACCAUUGCUUUGNNNNNNNNNNNNNNNNNNNNNNNNNNNNNNNNNNNNNNNNNNNNNNNNNNNNNNNNNNNNNNNNNNNNNNNNNNNNNNNNNNNNNNNNNNNNNNNNNNNNUGGGUCGCAAAUGGGCUAAGAAAUCGGAAACAUUGCGUUGAACCACUAAAUGACUUAUCUAGUGUUGUUUGGGGCUAUGAUAUGUUAGAAUACAAUGAAUUUGAUUGAUUGCAAGUGCUAGAGAUGCAGGAAGAGUGUUUAAAAGUGUGUAGAGAGACUUGCUGAAAUUUGGGCCAAAAUGGGCUAAGAACUCACAACCAUUGCUUUGAAGAAUUAAAUGGAAUGUCUAAUGUUGUUUGGUGUUAUAAUAUGUUAGAAUACAAUAAAUUUGAUUAAUUACAAGUGCUAUAGGUGCAUGAAGAGUGUUUCGAAGUGUGGAGAAAGACUUGUUUAAAUUGGGUCCCAAAUGGGCUAAAAACUCGGACACAUUGCGUUGAACCACGAAAUGACUUAUCUAGUGUUGUUUGGGGUUAGAAUAUGUUAGAAUACAAUGAAUUUGACUGAUUUCAAGUGCUAGAGAUGCAUGAAGAGUGAUUAAAAGUGUGUAGAGAGACUUGCUGAAAUUUGGUCCAAAAUGGGCUAAGAACCCACAACCAUUGCUUUGAAGAAUUAAAUGGAUUGUAUAGUGUUGUUUGGGGUUAGAAUAUGUUAGAAUACAAUAAAUUUGAUUGAUUACAACUGCUAGAGGUGCAUGAAGAGUGUUUAGAAGUGUGGAGAAAGCUUGUUGAAAUUGGGUCCGAGAUGGGCUAAAAACUCGGGAACAUUGCGUUGAACCACGAAAUGACUUAUUUAGUGUUUGUUUGGGGUUAGAAUUUGUUAGAAUACAAUGAAGUUGAUUGAUUAAAAGUAAUAGAGUUAGAUAAAGAGUGUUUAAAAGUGUGUAGGUAGACUUGCUGAAACUUGGUCCAAAAUGGGAUAAGAACCCACAACCAUUGCUUUGAAUAAUUAAAUGGCUUAUCUAAUGUUGUUUGGGACUAGAAUAUGUUAGAAUACAAUAAAUUUGAUUAAUUACAAGUGCUAUAGGUGCAUGAAGAGUGUUUCGAAGUGUGGAGAAAGACUUGUUUAAAUUGGGUCCCAAAUGGGCUAAAAACUCGGACACAUUGCGUUGANNNNNNNNNNNNNNNNNNNNNNNNNNNNNNNNNNNNNNNNNNNNNNNNNNNNNNNNNNNNNNNNNNNNNNNNNNNNNNNNNNNNNNNNNNNNNNNNNNNNAAUGACUUAUUUAGUGUUGUUUGGGGUUAGAAUAUGUUAGAAUACAAUGAAUUUGAUUGAUUUCAAGUGCUAGAGAUGCAUGAUGAGUGUUUGAAAGUGUGUAAAGAGACUUGCUGAAAUUUGGUCCAAAAUUGGGCUAAGAAUCCACAACCAUUGAUUUGAAGCAUUAAAUAGCUUGAAUAGUGUUGUUUGGGGUUAGAAUAUAAUAUAAUACAAUAAAUUUGAUUGAUUACAAGUGCUAGUGGUGCAUGAAGAGUGUUUAGAAGUGUGGAGAAAAACUUGUUGAAAUUGUGUCCCAAAUGGGCUAAAAACUCGGAAACUUCGCGUUGAACCACUAAAUCACUUAUUUAGUGUUGUUUGGGGUUAGAAUUUGUUAUAAUACAAUGAAGUUGAUUAAAUACAAGUAAUAGCGAUAGAUAAAGAGUGUUUAAAAGUGAUUGAUUACAAGUGCUAGAGAUACAUGAAGAGUGUUUAAAUGUGUGUAGAAAGACCUGCUGAAAUUAGGUCCAAAAUGGGCUAAGAACCCACAACCAUUAGUUUGAAGAAUUAAAUGGCUUGUCUAGUGUUGUUUGGGGUUAGAAUAUGUUAGCAUACAAUAAAUUUGAUUGAUUACAAGGGCUAGAAUAAAAUAAAUUUGAUUAAUUACAAGUGCUAUAGGUGAAUGAAGAGUGUUUCGAAGUGUGGAGAAAGACUUGUUGAAAU